AAACCAUGCAUUGGGCAUUUUCUUAGUAGCUCAUUGAACCGCUCCUAUGCUUCAUAUAAAUUUUCAUCCUCUUGUUGUCUAAACGAUGUAAUGUUGCUCCUCAACUU
rfam:Gossypium raimondii Chr11_contig_966, whole genome shotgun sequence.